rnacentral:lncRNA from 1 species
GAUGAACAUGCUGAGAAAGCGAAGACCCUUCCUGAGUCAACAACCAAUGAGAACAAGCUUAUCCUCUAUGGGCUGUACAAGCAAGCCACUGUUGGAGCUGUGAACACUAGUUAGUAUAAUGAUCCCUGAAAAAUACGAGAACGCACUAUUUUGUUCUCUCGUUGCAACACAAAUUUUCCAUUUAUGAGAUUGUCAACCAUCCUCUAAAUUUUCCCUUCGCGUUUGUUUCUUUGUGGCUGACUUGCAGGCCGCCCAGGAAUGUUCAAUAUGAGGGACAGAGCAAAGUGGGAUGCAUGGAAGGCUGUUGAAGGUGAUACUUCUGAGCAUAAUGUUUUAUAUUAUUAUUAUAUGUCAAUCUUCUUCGUAUGCUCUUGCAUAAUUGAUACUUCUGAGCAUAUCGUUUAUUAUUAUCAUAUGUCAAUCUUCUUCGUAUACUCUAGCAUAAUUCUAAGGUAUAAUUUUCGUUCUGGCAGGGAAAUCCAAGGAGGAAGCCAUGGGCGACUACAUUACAAAGGUGAAACAGCUGCUGGAAGAAGCAGGAGCUUCUACUUGAUGUUUUCGUAUGGUGUUAUUUGAUUCAAAAUAAACUUGUACACUUACGUAUUGGUACUCUGUUAUAUCUAAAUGUGUGCGAAUGUAACAUCCAUGGGAUACUUUCGGUAGAAUGGUU